rnacentral:rRNA from 1 species
ACUCCUACGGGAGGCAGCAGUGGGGAAUAUUGCACAAUGGGCGCAAGCCUGAUGCAGCCAUGCCGCGUGUGUGAAGAAGGCCUUCGGGUUGUAAAGCACUUUCAGUCGUGAGGAAGGUAGUGUAGUUAAUAGCUGCAGUAUUUGUACGUUAGCGACAGAAGAAGCACCGGCUAACUCCGUGCCAGCAGCCGCGGUAAUACGGAGGGUGCGAGCGUUAAUCGGAAUUACUGGGCGUAAAGCGCAUGCAGGUGGUUGUUAAGUCAGAUGUGAAAGCCCGGGGCUCAACCUCGGAAUAGCAUUUGAAACUGGCAGACUAGAGUACUGUAGAGGGGGUAGAAUUUCAGGUGUAGCGGUGAAAUGCGUAGAGAUCUGAAGGAAUACCGGUGGCGAAGGCGGCCCCUGGACAGAUACUGACACUCAGAUGCGAAAGCGUGGGAGCAAACAGGAUUAGAUACCCCUGGUAGACUGUCA